rnacentral:rRNA from 1 species
GGCAACAGCUCAAAUUUGAAAUCUGGCCUCGGCCCGAGUUGUAAUUUGCAGAGGAUGCUUUUGGUGCGGUGCCUUCCGAGUUCCCUGGAACGGGACGCCACAGAGGGUGAGAGCCCCGUAUGGUCGGACACCAAUCCUGUGUAAAGCUCCUUCGACGAGUCGAGUAGUUUGGGAAUGCUGCUCUAAAUGGGAGGUAAAUCUCUUCUAAAGCUAAAUACCGGCCAGAGACCGAUAGCGCACAAGUAGAGUGAUCGAAAGAUGAAAAGCACCUUGAAAAGGGGGUUAAACAGUACGUGAAAUUGUUGAAAGGGAAGCACUUGUGACCAGACUUGGGCCGGGCGGCUCAUCAGGGGUUCUCCCCUGUGCAUUCCGCCCGGUACAGGCCAGCAUCGGUUCUUACCGGGGGAUAAGAACGGCAGGAACGUGGCUCCCUCUCGGGGGAGUGUUAUAGCCUGCCGUACGAUACCCUGGCGGGGACCGAGGUUCGCGCUUCCGCAAGGAUGCUGGCGUAAUGGUUACUAGUGACCCGUCUUGAAACACGGACCAAGGAGUCGUCCAUUAGAGCGAGCGUUUGGGUGUAAAACCCGCACGCGUAAUGAAAGUGAAAUUAGGUGAGAGCUUCGGCGCAUCAUCGACCGAUCCUGAUGUUCUCGGAUGGAUUUGAGUAAGAGUUUUAACGGACGGACCCGAAAGACAGUGAACUAUGCUUGUAUAGGGUGAAGCCAGAGGAAACUCUGGUGGAGGCUCGC